rnacentral:rRNA from 1 species
CAGUCGCCGCGGGAAUACGGAGGGUGCAAGCGUUAUCCGGAUUUAUUGGGUUUAAAGGGUCCGUAGGCGGAUCUGUAAGUCAGUGGUGAAAUCUCACAGCUUAACUGUGAAACUGCCAUUGAUACUGCAGGUCUUGAGUAAAUUUGAAGUGGCUGGAAUAAGUAGUGUAGCGGUGAAAUGCAUAGAUAUUACUUAGAACACCAAUUGCGAAGGCAGGUCACUAAGAUUUAACUGACGCUGAUGGACGAAAGCGUGGGGAGCGAACAGGAUUAGAUACCCGCGUAGUCCCUGUCUCUUAUAU